UUAAAUAAAAAUUAAGUAAAGCUUUAAAAAAAGUUUAUAGUCCCUAAAUUUUGAUAGUUACACAUAUAUGAACUUCAUACUACUUUUAAAAAAAAGAGAGCAUUGCCAGAAGCAUGUCAACAAAAAUCACAUAAAAAAAAUUGAGGGAUUUAAGAGAAAAGAAGAGGGGUUGGACCUUUAUUGCCGAAAGUUCCAACAUUUAUAAUAAAGAGGAGCUCCAAAUUGCAAACCCAUUAUAUAUAUAUAUAGAUGAGAACUUCGCCAAACCCAGCAACCUCGAGUUAAACCUCAUUCUAGCGGUGGGUUUCUGACAACAUUUUGGUAGUAGAAUUGAGGGCCAUUGGCAGAGCAUUCAUGGGUGUUUAAGGGUGGUUCAAAACUGAUAUUGCAGAAGCUAUGGCGUUUUAUUUGGAGGGUUUAUGGACUGGUUUUCAGUGCUGGUUUGUAGGUAUUUUUGGUGUUGUUUUUGCAGCUGGUUUGACGGCUGAUUUGCGGCUAUUUUCAGCUGCAUUUUCCUACUGUUUGGUACUAAUUUUUUAGGUGAUUUAGUGAUUGGUUGAUGAACAUUCUUCAGGUUGUUUUCAUGAUGGUUUCAGUGGAGUUUUCAUGGUUAAAGUGGUGAGGGUUUGGAGACGGGAUGCUGAAAGGGUGGUCGACUGAUUUGGUUGGAGG
rnacentral:lncRNA from 1 species